GACGAACGCUGGCGGCGUGCCUAAUACAUGCAAGUUGAGCGCUGAAGGUUGGUACUUGUACCAACUGGAUGAGCAGCGAACGGGUGAGUAACGCGUGGGGAAUCUGCCUUUGAGCGGGGGACAACAUUUGGAAACGAAUGCUAAUACCGCAUAAAAACUUUAAACACAAGUUUUAAGUUUGAAAGAUGCAAUUGCAUCACUCAAAGAUGAUCCCGCGUUGUAUUAGCUAGUUGGUGAGGUAAAGGCUCACCAAGGCGAUGAUACAUAGCCGACCUGAGAGGGUGAGCGGCCGCAUUGGGACUGAGACACGGCCCAAACUCCUACGGGAGGCAGCAGUAGGGAAUCUUCGGCAAUGGACGAAAGUCUGACCGAGCAACGCCGCGUGAGUGAAGAAGGGUGUCGGAUCGUAAAACUCUGUUGGUAGAGAAGAACGUUGGUGAGAGUGGAAAGCUCAUCAAGUGACGGUAACUACCCAGAAAGGGACGGCUAACUACGUG
rnacentral:rRNA from 1 species